CAGGAUAGUCCUUGUGAGGAGUCACAGGACUGUUUGAGUUGAGCACAAUUCGGAUGAUCUGAUCAGGGUUGAUAGUUUAACCCUGAGUCAUCCUAAACACAGGGGUCAAAAGGAUGAAUUAUACAGUAACCAUAUUCAUGUAGGUUCUGAGUGUUGCGAUUGUGACUCUUCGACCUAUCCAGACAUCGGGUACCAUUGCUAGAUGGUCACUUCGAUUAGUACAGAAAUUGGUUCCUGUGCUACCGGCUUAGGUUCGAACCUGUGGGGUCACACACAUUAGAGGUUCCUAUCGAUCUGAUGGCUGAUAUAGAAUCCUACAUGUUUGGAACUCGAUG
rnacentral:lncRNA from 1 species